rnacentral:rRNA from 1 species
UAAGUUAUUAAGGGCGCACGGUGGAUGCCUUGGCACUAGAAGCCGAUGAAGGACGUUACUAACGACGAUAUGCUUUGGGGAGCUGUAAGUAAGCUUUGAUCCAGAGAUUUCCGAAUGGGGAAACCCAACAUGAGUUAUGUCAUGUUAUCGAUAUGUGAAUACAUAGCAUAUCAGAAGGCACACCCGGAGAACUGAAACAUCUUAGUACCCGGAGGAAGAGAAAGAAAAAUCGAUUCCCUUAGUAGCGGCGAGCGAAACGGGAAGAGCCCAAACCAACAAGCUUGCUUGUUGGGGUUGUAGGACACUCUAUACGGAGUUACAAAGGACGACAUUAGACGAAUCAUCUGGAAAGAUGA